UAUGAACAAGCAUUAGGCCUGUGAAAAGUUAAAAACGAAAAGCAGUUAAGGCAGGUAGAAGCCAAGUUCCACCAUUAUGAACAGUCAUAUCCAAGAGCUCAAAUUUUUCCUCUUCCUGAAAAUCAUCUUUUUUCUGUGGCUCCAAAUGACAAAAACCCUAGUGUAGGAAAAGAACUUGUUAUUUCCAAAGAAUGCUAGAAUCCACAGGACUUUUAAAUCCAGUCUCUGGGGGUGUUGGCCAUUCAAAGGUUAAUCUUUUUUUUUUUUUUUUUCAGUUCAAACUCAUUUCCCUUUUAUUAAAGUCCAAGUUACCAUUACAUGGUUUGGAACUCAAUAAAGGAAAACUUGUUCAAAUAAGCUCCAGGGUGGCAUCCUCGUCACACACAAACACCGUGCGGGGAUGCUGCUGGAAGGCAGAUACGGUCCACAUGUGGCUCACCCCCUCCUCGAUGGCCUUGUACAGAGCAAAUGCCUUGUGAGCACCUGUGAUGAGGAUCAUCACCUGGGGAUCAGAAAACAAGCCUGUGAUGGAGGAGAAUGAGCAGUGGAACCCAGAGUCCAGAAACCUGAAUUCUGGCCCAGUCUCCCCAACCAGCCUGCAGUGAAGAAGCUGCAGUGAGACAGGCAUGGGUCUCGUCCCGUUCCCACAUGUCCUCAUCACCCUGGGCCUGCCCUGGACACGUGCUGCAGAGUGGCAAGCUCACCUCCAACGAACAGCUCAAUCCCUCCCGCGGCUUUGAUCUUCUCUUCAAAGGCGUCACACUCGGCCUGCAGAUGUUUCACCUAAAAGAAGGGAUGUUCCAAGGAACCCUUAUAUGGACAUGCCAUGCUGGUUCAAGCAGGACAGGAAAGAGCCAGCUCUUGGAAGGCCCUGAAUGCCACACUGAGGAGCCGGGAUCUGAUUAUGCAGGAGAAGGCAGCAACUAAACCAGACCAUAAAGGAAACUGUCCUCUGUUUUGCAUGUCCAGGAAACAAGGCUGUUCACUCAUAGCACCAGCACCUCAGAGCCCUCCUUCAGAGUCUCUUGGCUUAAUGAGCCCAUGAACCUGGUCCCUUAAAAACCCCAGAUGCUCACUCUCUCCCCCUGCCUCCAGUCCAUGGCACCUUCUCUAUCCCACAACGCACCAGUGG